GACGAACGCUGGCGGCGUGCCUAAUACAUGCAAGUCGAACGCUUCUUUCCUCCCGAGUGCUUGCACUCAAUUGGAAAGAGGAGUGGCGGACGGGUGAGUAACACGUGGGUAACCUACCCAUCAGAGGGGGAUAACACUUGGAAACAGGUGCUAAUACCGCAUAACAGUUUAUGCCGCAUGGCAUAAGAGUGAAAGGCGCUUUCGGGUGUCGCUGAUGGAUGGACCCGCGGUGCAUUAGCUAGUUGGUGAGGUAACGGCUCACCAAGGCCACGAUGCAUAGCCGACCUGAGAGGGUGAUCGGCCACACUGGGACUGAGACACGGCCCAGACUCCUACGGGAGGCAGCAGUAGGGAAUCUUCGGCAAUGGACGAAAGUCUGACCGAGCAACGCCGCGUGAGUGAAGAAGGUUUUCGGAUCGUAAAACUCUGUUGUUAGAGGAGAACAAGGACGUUAGUAACUGAACGUCCCCUGACGGUAUCUAACCAGAAAGCCACGGCUAACUACGUG
rnacentral:rRNA from 1 species